ACUGCUCAGUAACACGUGGAUAACCUGCCCUUGGGUCCGGCAUAACCCCGGGAAACUGGGGAUGAUUCCGGAUAACGCACAUAUGCUGGAAUGCUUUAUGCGUAAAAUGGAUUCGUCUGCCCAAGGAUGGGUCUGCGGCCUAUCAGGUAGUAGUGGGUGUAAUGUACCUACUAGCCAACAACGGGUACGGGUUGUGAGAGCAAGAGCCCGGAGAUGGAUUCUGAGACAUGAAUCCAGGCCCUACGGGGCGCAGCAGGCGCGAAAACUUUACAAUGCGGGAAACCGUGAUAAGGGGACACCGAGUGCCAGCAUCAUAUGCUGGCUGUCCAGGUGUGUAAAAUACACCUGUUAGCAAGGGCCGGGCAAGACCGGUGCCAGCCGCCGCGGUAACACCGGCGGCCCGAGUGGUGAUCGUGAUUAUUGGGUCUAAAGGGUCCGUAGCCGGUUUGGUCAGUCCUCCGGGAAAUCUGACGGCUCAACCGUUAGGCUUUCGGGGGAUACUGCCAGGCUUGGAACCGGGAGAGGUAAGAGGUACUACAGGGGUAGGAGUGAAAUCUUGUAAUCCCUGUGAGACCACCUGUGGCGAAGGCGUCUUACCAGAACGGGUUCGACGGUGAGGGACGAAAGCUGGGGGCACGAACCGGAUUAGAUACCCGGGUAGUCCCAGCCGUAAACGAUGCUCGCUAGGUGUCAGGCAUGGCGCGACCGUGUCUGGUGCCGCAGGGAAGCCGUGGAGCGAGCCACCUGGGAAGUACGGCCGCAAGGCUGAAACUUAAAGGAAUUGGCGGGGGAGCAC
rnacentral:rRNA from 1 species